rnacentral:rRNA from 1 species
AACGCGAAGAACCUUACCUGGGUUUGACAUGGGCGCUAAAGCCGCAGAGAUGUGGUGUCCUUCGGGGCGGUUCACAGGUGGUGCAUGGCUGUCGUCAGCUCGUGUCGUGAGAUGUUGGGUUAAGUCCCGCAACGAGCGCAACCCUUAUUCCAUGUUGCCAGCGGGUUAUGCCGGGGACUCAUGGGAGACUGCCGGGGUCAACUCGGAGGAAGGUGGGGAUGACGUCAAGUCAUCAUGCCCCUUAUGUCCAGGGCUUCACGCAUGCUACAAUGGCCGGUACAAAGGGCUGCGAUACCGCAAGGUGGAGCGAAUCCCAAAAAGCCGGUCUCAGUUCGGAUCGGGGUCUGCAACUCGACCCCGUGAAGUCGGAGUCGCUAGUAAUCGCAGAUCAGCAACGCUGCGGUGAAUACGUUCCCGGGCCUUGUACACACCGGCAC